GAUGAAGAACGUAGCGAAAUGCGAUAAGUAGUGUGAAUUGCAGAAUUCAGUGAAUCAUCGAGUCUUUGAACGCACAUUGCGCCCCCUGGUAUUCCGGGGGGCAUGCCUGUCCGAGCGUCAUUGCUGCCCUCAAGCACGGCUUGUGUGUUGGGCCUCCGUCCUCCUCCCGGGGACGGGCCCGAAAGGCAGCGGCGGCACCGCGUCCGGUCCUCGAGCGUAUGGGGCUUCGUCACCCGCUCUUGUAGGCCCGGCCGGCGCUUGCCGACACAUCAAUCUUUUUUCCAGGUUGACCUCGGAUCAGGUAGGGAUACCCGCUGAACUUAAGCAUAUCAAUAAGCGGAGGA
rnacentral:misc_RNA from 1 species